AUUGAACGCUGGCGGCAGGCUUAACACAUGCAAGUCGAGGGGAGCGGCAGACGGGUGAGUAACGCGUGGGAACGUAACUUUUGGGUCGACACAACACAGGAAAACUAUUGCUAAUACCGGAUACCGAAAGAUGGGCCAGCGUCGGAUUAGCUAGUUGGUGGGGUAAUGGCCUACCAAGGCGACGAUCAGUAGCUGGGAUGAGAAGCUGAUCAGCCACAUUGGGACUGAGAAACGGCCCAAACUCUGACGGGAGGCAGCAGUGGGGAAUAUUGGACAAUGGGGUCGACCCUGAUCCAGCCAUGCCGCGUGAGUGAUGAAGGCGCUAGGGUUGUAAAGCUCUUUUGUGCGGGAAGCGGUACCGCAAGAAUAAGCCCCGGCUAACUCCGUGCCAGCAGCCGCGGUAAUAC
rnacentral:rRNA from 1 species